rnacentral:rRNA from 1 species
AACUCUACAAUGCAGGAGACUGCGAUAGGGGGACAUCGAGUGGCAUCCACCUUGGGUGCCUGUCCAACCGUCUAAAAAACGGUUGUUAGCAAGGGCCGGGUAAGACCGGUGCCAGCCGCCGCGGUAAUACCGGCGGCUCGAGUGGUGGCCGAUAUUAUUGAGUCUAAAGGGUCCGUAGCCGGCUUUGCAAGUCCCCUGGGAAAUCCAGCGGCUUAACCGUUGGGCUUUCAUGGGAUACUACAUUGCUUGGGACUGGGAGAGGUAGGAGGUACUCGGGGGGUAGGGGUGAAAUCCUGUAAUCCUCCGGGGACCACCGGUGGCGAAGGCGUCCUACCAGAACAGGUCCGACGGUGAGGGACGAAAGCUAGGGGCACGAACCGGAUUAGAUACCCGGGUAGUCCUAGCCGUAAACGAUGCCCGCUAGGUGUCACGACAGUCGUGAAUUGUCGUGGUGCCGUAGGGAAGCCGCGAAGCGGGCCACUUGGGAAGUACGACCGCAAGGUUGAAACUUAA